GAUGAACGCUGGCGGCGUGCCUAAUACAUGCAAGUCGAGCGAACAGACGAGGAGCUUGCUCCUCUGACGUUAGCGGCGGACGGGUGAGUAACACGUGGAUAACCUACCUAUAAGACUGGGAUAACUUCGGGAAACCGGAGCUAAUACCGGACAAUAUAUUGAACCGCAUGGUUCAAUAGUGAAAGACGGUGUUUCUGUCACUUAUAGAUGGAUCCGCGCCGCAUUAGCUAGUUGGUAAGGUAACGGCUUACCAAGGCGACGAUGCGUAGCCGACCUGAGAGGGUGAUCGGCCACACUGGAACUGAGGCACGGUCCAGACUCCUACGGGAGGCAGCAGUAGGGAAUCUUCCGCAAAGGGCGAAAGCCUGACGGAGCAACGCCGCGUGAGUGAUGAAGGUCUUCGGAUCGUAAAACUCUGUUAUUAGGGAAGAACAAAUGUGUAAGUAACUAUGCACGUCUUGACGGUACCUAAUCAGAAAGCCACGGCUAACUACGUG
rnacentral:rRNA from 1 species